GAGAGAGAGAGAGAGAGAGAGAGACAGGCAGAGGGAGAAGUAGGCUCCAUGCAGGGAGUCUGGGAGUCUGAGGUGGGACUUGAUCCUGGGGCUCCAGGACCAUGCCCUGGGCUGAAAGCAGAUGCUCAACCACUGAGCCACCCAGAUGUCCCUAGCAAGCAUGCUUGAAGACAUUCUUGGCACAGGAGAGACGGGGCCCUGGGGCAGGAGAGUAAAAUGGCAGUUAGAAUUAAGACCACCGUGCACAUGCCGCUCUCAGUGUAAAGUCUCCAAAUGCUAUAGCAGGUAGCAGCUGGCAUGGCUGGUUCUGGUCGUGUCCUCACCUGCACUGCCCCUGCCCGAGGAUCCCUCCCCAGCCCUUCCUGAGAGGUCUCACCCUGGGGCUGACGGCCAGCUGGCAGGGGCAUUGCCAGCCUGAGAAUCAGGGCAGGGCUGGGAGAGUCCAGGGAGAAGCACCACCAUGGUGGGCACAGGGUGGGGUCCACACCAGGGCAGCUGUCUGGAGGCCAAGAUAGAAGGCCCACUGCAUCCCUCUGAACUGAUGACUCUAUGGUGGCAUAGAAGAGGGAAGGCUGGCUCUUUCCUGAGGUGCCAGAUGAUCCUCAUGGCAGUUCACCUUCAGGCCUGCAACAGGCUUAGCCUGUAAGAUCUGAGGGACCAGAGAGGGCCUCAGUCUACCCAAAAACUCUUUCCCAACAGUCUCUUGAGAGUUGAGAAUCUGUUUCCCAAACAAAGAAUUGGAAACUGUAAGCAAGUGUGAAGAACAUUCAGGCAAAGGGUAAAUGAGCCUGGAAGGGAGAAGGGAGCAUCCCUGAACAAGGCUGGGGAGGAAGAUUCAGCCUGGGAUGGAGACAGAUUGGUGGACUCAACAAAGACUGGGCCACAGGCCUCCUGGUCCUCCUCCCGUGACAGCCAGAACCCAGUACAACUGCCACUAUGACAGCAGCCAGGAAGGCCCUCUGGACACAGUGGCCUUCAAAGCCUUUCAGCUCCCAGGCCCUGGGUUCCUCCAACUGACAGUCAGGAGAGUCCUGCUUCUGCUCACCACAGGCCCCAACAGGCCACGCAGCCCUUUGUCGCCACUGUGCUCUAGAUCGUUCAUGUGCUCACACACACACACACCUGUGCACAAGCCCUGGACCAACACAUAAGACACGUGCCAAGAUAGCUCGCGCUCAGGACAAAAGUCUUCACUUAACAAUCCGGACAUCUUUUUUUGUCUCUCUGGUCAUUUAACUAAUAGAUUGUGAACAGUGUGAAAAUACAAACGUGCUCAGACUCCGCCAGCUCCCGAGGGUGGCACGGGCCCUGCGGGUCUGUCACAGCCUAGGGAUGGACUUUUGUCAUCACCAUCAGCGUCUGCCAUCACCACUACCAGAGCCUGCUGGAGCCACAGAGAUAACGCAAAUGUUUACCAGACAGAUGGGCGAGGACCUUGUCAGGAGCUCUAGGAGAGAGGCUCAACAGAAUACGAGGUGCAGUGGGGAAGGGGACAAUGGCUGUAUCCAGUUUGCACACAGCGAUGCUUUGUGAAUCCAUGUGGCAGAGGAGGGGCAAGCAGGGGAACUCAGGAUCUGCCCUCAUGGGAUCCAGGGUACCUGGUUCCAACGCAAGGGCUGCAAGCGUUCUGAGCGCUGGAGACCAGGCUACUGCAGUGGUGGAUAUGGCCAUCCAGAGGAGGUAGCACUGAGCAGAGGCACUGAGGCAGGGUGGGACUUGUGAAGCAAGAGCUGACAGCAUGGCAUAAGGAUUAAGUAAGUGAGCUGUGCAAGCAGCCAACCUUAUUUUGAGUUUGUGUUACGUCUCUCCCUGGCUGUGUGAUCCUGGGAAAGAUCCCCAACCUCUCUGAUCUUCAGUAGCCUGGUAUGUAAAAUGCCAAGGCCUCUCAGAUAAGGGCUGCAGAGAGAAGGAACUAAGCCUGCAAAGGGGCUGAACUAUAGUAAGCGGCCAGUGGUGUCAGGUAAGGGCAAGAGGCAGGGAGGCUGAGAUGAGACAAUGCGUACGUAGGGGCAGAGGAGGAGGAGGAGAAUAACCCCAGGGAAGCGGGACACCCAGGCUGGACGAGGCUGUGGCUGGAGCGGGCUACCUCUGAGGCCCCAUCUCUGAAGAAGAUGCAGCUGGAGAGGUGGCAGCCCUGCCAAACAGGUUGUCAGUCAGGCCCUUCGGGGGCUUCCUUCCCAUUGGCCAUGGCUCUGACAGGGAAAUCAGCAGGCUGGCGGUGCGGGCCUGGGCAGCGCAACAGACAAGGCCCUGGGGACAGCUUAAGUGGACAAUAAUUGCAGGUUAUUAUAUACCGGGCUGCAGCCAAAAGCCAGGCAGCUAUUAAGUGUGAUUGGGAGAAAUAAUCAGGAGGAGGAGGAUGGAUGUGAGAACUAAGCUGUUCUUUCUGUUCUCAAGGCUGCUCUGAGGCCGGGACUGUGCAGAGGCAGGGACAGGGUGGGUGGGGAAAGGAGCAGAGCUAC
rnacentral:lncRNA from 1 species